rnacentral:rRNA from 1 species
GAUGAACGCUGGCGGCGUGCUUAACACAUGCAAGUCGAACGAUGAAGCCCAGCUUGCUGGGUGGAUUAGUGGCGAACGGGUGAGUAACACGUGAGUAACCUGCCCUUAACUCUGGGAUAAGCCUGGGAAACUGGGUCUAAUACCGGAUAGGAGCGUCCACCGCAUGGUGGGUGUUGGAAAGAUUUAUCGGUUUUGGAUGGACUCGCGGCCUAUCAGCUUGUUGGUGAGGUAAUGGCUCACCAAGGCGACGACGGGUAGCCGGCCUGAGAGGGUGACCGGCCACACUGGGACUGAGACACGGCCCAGACUCCUACGGGAGGCAGAAGUGGGGAAUAUUGCACAAUGGGCGGAAGCCUGAUGCAGCGACGCCGCGUGAGGGAUGACGGCCUUCGGGUUGUAAACCUCUUUCAGUAGGGAAGAAGUGGAAGUGACGGUACCUGCAGAAGAAGCACCGGCUAACUACGUG